UACGGAGGGUGCAAGCGUUAUCCGGAUUCACUGGGUUUAAAGGGUGCGUAGGAGGGCAGGUAAGUCAGUGGUGAAAUCUCCGGGCUCAACUCGGAAACUGCCGUUGAUACUAUCUGUCUUGAAUAUCGUGGAGGUGAGUGGAAUAUGUCAUGUGGCGGUGAAAUGCUUAGAUAUGACAUAGAACACCAAUUGCGAAGGCAGCUCACUACACGUAUAUUGACUCUGAGGCACGAAAGCGUGGGGAUCAAACAGG
rnacentral:rRNA from 1 species